rnacentral:rRNA from 1 species
UGCGCAGGCGGCUUACUAAGUCAGUGGUGAAAUCUUGCGGCUUAACCGUAAAACUGCCAUUGAUACUGGUAGGCUUGAAUUCAGUUGAGGUUGGCGGAAUGUGUAAUGUAGCGGUGAAAUGCUUAGAUAUUACACAGAACACCGAUUGCGAAGGCAGCUAGCUAAACUGAUAUUGACGCUGAGGCACGAAAGCGUGGGGAGCGAACAGGAUUAGAUACCCUGGUAGUCC